rnacentral:sRNA from 1 species
AAGUUGCGCCGAGGUGGUUGCGCCUGCGCAAUGCAUCACCGCACACGGGGCUCGCGGGUCCGGGAGCGCGACGGAGACGAUGCCUGAGAUCAGAGUCACGCCCUUGGGGGCCGGCCAGGACGUGGGCCGAAGCUGCAUCCUGGUCUCCAUUGCGGGCAAGAAUGUCAUGCUGGACUGUGGAAUGCACAUGGGCUUCAAUGACGACGUGAGUCCCUCGGGCAGGAGGCCCAGAGGCUGGGAGAGCCGGCCAUCCACAGCUGGACCCUGGGCCUCAGAGCCGGGACAGUGGGGCAGUGGGCAGCAGUGGUUGUGCUUGGACGGCUGCACCCUGUGGGGAGCAGGGAUGGGUGGGCCUGGCCGAGGCGAGCCCCUGCAUGGGAGGGUCCCCCUGUGCUGGCGCUGGGCCCCAGUCCCGGGGUCCUGUAGGCUGGGCUCAGUGAGACCUUGGGCUCAGCUUCCAGCUCACAUCUGUCAGUGAGGUUGGGGGUAACCUCGGCCCCUCCGGAUGCUGUGAGCAGUCAGGGGUCCUGGUGCCAUCUGUGGGGUGGGAGUGCCCAGCAUGAGUCUGCACAUAGAACCCCCCUUCCUGGGGGCCCCUCCCUGGGGCAUGGGUGGCCCCAGAUGCUGCCUGGAGACCACUGCGCAACCUGAAACCCCCACGUCCUUCCCAGCGACGCUUCCCUGACUUCUCCUACAUCACCCAGAAUGGCCGCCUGACAGACUUCCUGGACUGCGUGAUCAUUAGCCACUUCCACCUGGACCACUGCGGGGCACUCCCCUACUUCAGCGAGAUGGUGGGCUACGACGGGCCCAUCUACAUGACCCACCCCACCCAGGCCAUCUGCCCCAUCUUGCUGGAGGACUACCGCAAGAUCGCCGUGGACAAGAAGGGCGAGGCCAACUUCUUCACCUCCCAGAUGAUCAAAGACUGCAUGAAGAAGGUGGUGGCUGUCCACCUCCACCAGACGGUCCAGGUUAGGUUCCCAGAGCCACAGACGGCACAGUCACUGCCCACCCCCACACCAACCAUGCCCUCUGCCCAUUCUACACAGUCUCUGGAAGGCUGGGGCCUCAGGGUGAGCCCACCCCACCUCACUCUUGCAUCCAGCACUGUGGGGACACCAGGAGGCGGCAGCGCGAGGAUGUGGGUCCCAGACUGGACUGGGCGCCGACCUGCGAGAGCACUUGCACGGUGGGGGUGUCCCCCGGCCUACGAACCCACCUGGCUCUGUCCGAGCGGCAUUGAAAUGGCCAGAGUGGGACAGGCUGGUGCCCUCAGAGCGCUUGGAGCGGCCAGAGACUCGCUGGAGCUCCUGGGGUGUUGCCGGGCAGGGAGGCAGGGGCCGGAGGGGAGAUGGGCCAGCUCUGGAGGGUGCCUGGUUCUGGGUGUGGGUCAGGGAGGAAGUGAAAGUUAAAUCAGCGAGUGACAGGUGAAAUUCCCUUUCUGACAAAGAUUAUGGGUUUGUCUGUGUCUCGUUAGAGUCUGUGGGUGUUGCUUUUAUAUUUCUUGAAACUAUAUUAGGUACCUAUGUAUUUUGGAACACUUUAUCUUUCUGAUUGAACUUCUUGUCAAGGUGAAGUAUAUUUAUCUUU